UACAGAGGGUGCGAGCGUUGUUCGGAAUUAUUGGGCGUAAAGGGCGCGUAGGCGGUGCGGUAAGUCACCUGUGAAAUCUCCUGGCUCAACUGGGAGCUUGCAGGCGAAACUGCCGUGCUGGAGUGUGGGAGAGGUGCGUGGAAUUCCCGGUGUAGCGGUGAAAUGCGUAGAUAUCAGGAGGAACACCUGUGGUGUAGACAGCUUACUGGACCACUUCUGACGCUGAGACACGAAAGCGUGGGUAGCAAACAGG
rnacentral:rRNA from 1 species